GCAUGGUUGUCGUCAGCUCGUGUCGUGAGAUGUUGGGUUAAGUCCCGCAACGAGCGCAACCCUCGACCUUAGUUGCCAGCAUUCAGUUGGGCACUCUAAGGUGACUGCCGGCUAAAAGUCGGAGGAAGGUGGGGAUGACGUCAAAUCAUCAUGCCCCUUAUGACCUGGGCUACACACGUGCUACAAUGGGCGGUACAAAGGGUCGCGAACCCGCGAGGGGGAGCCAAUCCCAAAAAGCCGCUCUCAGUUCGGAUUGCAGGCUGCAACUCGCCUGCAUGAAGCCGGAAUCGCUAGUAAUCGCGGAUCAGCAUGCCCGCGGUCGAAUACGUUCCCGGGCCUU
rnacentral:rRNA from 1 species